rnacentral:lncRNA from 1 species
UAUGACUGAAGUGGGUGAGCAGCACCAAAUGAGGCCAUCGCGGUCGCUGAGCGGAGGGAGUGUUUAUAGCCUAACUUUGGCGAGGCAACAAGCCCCCAGGAGUGCCUUCAUUUCAGCACCCCCGGCCCUCCCCAAAGCCAGCUCGUUCUAUUUGGAGACUGUUGCUGCCUUACCAGGAACACACAUGGAUGAUUCUUAUUACUUUAUGCCCACAUUAAAUAAUUGUAUACACCAUGAACUGGAGGCCUUGUGUUUUGAGUGAAAAGCUUUGGAUUUGAGUUUGUGUUUCCAAACACACUUCUGAGGUAGAAAUUGUCAAGAGCUUUCCCAAACUCUUUUUUUAAUCCUCCUGAGCUCACCAUCUCUGGGACUGUCUUGCAAUUGGACAGCCAUGCAAUUGAGCUUCAGCCAAUGAAACAUGAGUGGAGGGCGUGACACACAACCUGCCAUGUUCAAGCCUCCAUACUCUUUCCCUCCUCCAGCUUUGUGCUGAUGAACAUGGUCACCUUGAAAGGUGUGUUGAAUAUGGCAGAGCCAGAAAAUGCAAGGAGCUUCUUCUCUGGAUCACCACUUGAAGAAGAGCCACUUGCUCCUCAGGAACCCUAUUUUGGACUGACGUUUAAUACAACAUGGAAGCCACCAAGGCUUACAGAAUGUGCUUUCCAGAGCUGUGACCUGAACUGUACCUGGGGCCUUUUGAGUGAGGCUGGAACUGGAGUGGCCUGGAUGCAGAGAGCAGUGUCCUAAGGCUGUGCAGGUUGCAAGAAAGCUCAAGUAGCCUAUGGAGAGGAUGCAAGGCUUCCAGCUGAUGCCCUCAGCCAGGCUCAGUAGCAGCCAGAACUAGCCUACCAACGAACCUGCUGAUCAUGUGCAUAAGCCACCUUGAACGUCGAUCCUCCUGCCUGGUGGAGCCAUCCCAGCUGAUGCCACAUGAAGCAGACACAAGCUGUCCCUACUAAGCUCUGCUCAAGUUGGAUAUUCAUGAGUGAAAUAAAUGACUGUUACUAAGUAAUUAAUUUUUGGGUGGCUGUUAUGUAGCAGUAGAUAAUUGGAACAAAGCUUAUUGACAUAAUACAUCUAUAUCACAUCCUCCAAUCCAUUUUUUUAAGUAAUAAAGUUGAUGUUUGUUUUGAUUUUCAGUUACAGCUUUACAUAUUUUGUCUUAAUUAGUCAAUUUUUUCCAAACUCAAAAUGGGUUUUUGUAAGAGUAGUAGUAGGGUCCUAGAAUAAUGGCAAUUCUCUUUCACUGGAGAAAGUUUUGUAGAGAAGACAAAAGAAUUUUUACAAGUACUCCACUGGUGAAAACUCAUAAACCUUGAAGCUGAGCUGAUGAUCUUUUAAAUAAAAAACUACAACCACCUGUCUUAAUCUAGAGACUACUCAGUGGUUGAUUUUUCAGGAUUGGAGCCAGGCUGUCUGGGUUCAAUUACAGGCUCUUAGACUUUGAAUUUGUUUCUUAACUGCUCUGUCCCUAAAUUUUCUUUCUUUUUUUCUUUAUUAUUAUUUCUUUUUUGGUAAAACAGGAUUUAUAAGUAGUAUAUGCCUCAUAAAAUUGCUGGAAGAAUUAAAUGAAUUAAUUUAUGUAGUGUACUUAGAAGAGCAUUUAUGUUAGCUAGUAUGUGUCUACUUACUUUGACCUCCCAUUGGAUUGUAAAAGCUGGAGAACAAGGGCUCUGUCUUAUUUUGCUGAUGUUUUCUUCAGUGCUGGGACUAGGGUGAGGUGAGCGAAGCACCUGACUGGCUGCAAAAUUCAGUGAGAGUGUAGGGGAAGCAAAAAACAUAAACAACCAAGAUAAAUAAUAUUUUAGUGCAGUGCUUUUAAAAAUCAAAAUUAGUGGCCGGGCGUGGUGGCUUAUGCCUGUAAUCCCAGCACUUUGGGAAGCCCAGGUGGGCAGAUCACAAGGUCAGGAGAUCGAGA